GUGGAAACAUCAGUUCCCAUUUAAUCAACAAAGUUAAGCAACAUUGAGUCUGGUCACUACCUAGAUGGGUGACCACUUGGGAAUACUAGGUGCUGUCAG